rnacentral:rRNA from 1 species
AACGAACGCUGGCGGCAUGCCUAACACAUGCAAGUCGAACGAGACCUUCGGGUCUAUUGUCGCACGGGUGCGUAACGCGUGGGAACCUGCCCUUAGGUUCGGAAUAACUCCCCGAAAGGGGUGCUAAUACCGGAUAAUGUCUUCGGACCAAAGAUUUAUCGCCUUUGGAUGGGCCCGCGUUGGAUUAGCUAGUUGGUAGGGUAAAAGCCUACCAAGGCGACGAUCCAUAGCUGGUCUGAGAGGAUGAUCAGCCACACUGGGACUGAGACACGGCCCAGACUCCUACGGGAGGCAGCAGUGGGGAAUAUUGGACAAUGGGCGAAAGCCUGAUCCAGCAAUGCCGCGUGAGUGAUGAAGGUCUUAGGGUUGUAAAGCUCUUUUAACCGGGAUGAUAAUGACAGUACCGGGAGAAUAAGCUCCGGCUAACUCCGUG